rnacentral:rRNA from 1 species
CGAAGGGUGCAAGCGUUACUCGGAAUUACUGGGCGUAAAGCGUGCGUAGGUGGUUUGUUAAGUCUGAUGUGAAAGCCCUGGGCUCAACCUGGGAAUGGCAUUGGAUACUGGCGAGCUAGAGUGCGGUAGAGGGCAGUGGAAUUCCCGGUGUAGCAGUGAAAUGCGUAGAGAUCGGGAGGAACAUCUGUGGCGAAGGCGACUGCCUGGACCAGCACUGACACUGAGGCACGAAGGCGUGGGGAGCAAACAGGAUUAGAUACCCUGGUAAUCCACGCCCUAAACGAUGCGAACUGGAUGUUGGGUGCAAUUAGGCACUCAGUAUCGAAGCUAACGCGUUAAGUUCGCCGCCUGGGGAGUACGGUUGCAAGACUG